rnacentral:rRNA from 1 species
AGUGAACGCUGGCGGUAGGCCUAACACAUGCAAGUCGAACGGCAGCACAGUAAGAGCUUGCUCUUACGGGUGGCGAGUGGCGGACGGGUGAGGAAUACAUCGGAAUCUACUUUUUCGUGGGGGAUAACGUAGGGAAACUUACGCUAAUACCGCAUACGACCUACGGGUGAAAGCAGGGGAUCUUCGGACCUUGCGCGAUUGAAUGAGCCGAUGUCGGAUUAGCUAGUUGGCGGGGUAAAGGCCCACCAAGGCGACGAUCCGUAGCUGGUCUGAGAGGAUGAUCAGCCAGACUGGAACUGAGACACGGUCCAGACUCCUACGGGAGGCAGCAGUGGGGAAUAUUGGACAAUGGGCGCAAGCCUGAUCCAGCCAUACCGCGUAGGUGAAGAAGGCCUUCGGGUUGUAAAGCCCUUUUGUUGGGAAAGAAAAGCAGCAGGUUAAUACCCCGCUGUUCUGACGGUACCCAAAGAAUAAGCACCGGCUAACUUCGUG